rfam:Oryza glumipatula chromosome 3, whole genome shotgun sequence.
AAUAAGUUUAGUCUUAUAUUGUUUAUGUCUAACAUUUGACCGUUCGUUUUAUUUGAAAUUAUUUUAUGAUUAAUAUUUUUUCAUUGUUAUUAAAUAAUAAAAUAUAAAUAGUACUAUAUGUGUGACUAAUUUUUUUAUAAAUAUUUCUAAUAAGAUGGAUGGUCAAACGUUGAACACGGAUACCCAUGGAUGCACUUAUU